GGGUGAUUAGCUCAGCUGGGAGAGCACCUCCCUUACAAGGAGGGGGUCGGCGGUUCGAUCCCGUCAUCCCACCA
rnacentral:tRNA from 1 species